rnacentral:rRNA from 1 species
UGGGGAAUAUUGGACAAUGGGGGCAACCCUGAUCCAGCAAUGCCGCGUGAGUGAUGAAGGCCUUAGGGUUGUAAAGCUCUUUUGGCGGGGACGAUGAUGACGGUACCCGCAGAAUAAGCCCCGGCUAACUUCGUGCCAGCAGCCGCGGUAAUACGAAGGGGGCGAGCGUUGUUCGGAAUUACUGGGCGUAAAGGGCGCGUAGGCGGCGACCCAAGUCAGAUGUGGAAGUCCUGGGCUUAACCUGGGGACUGCAUUUGAUACUGGGUUGCUUGAAUUCGGGAGAGGAUAGCGGAAUUCCCAGUGUAGAGGUGAAAUUCGUAGAUAUUGGGAAGAACACCGGUGGCGAAGGCGGCUAUCUGGACCGACAUUGACGCUGAGGCGCGAAAGCGUGGGGAGCAAAC